rnacentral:lncRNA from 1 species
GUAUCCAGAUAUUUCGUGUUGAAGAGACCCCGUAGAAGAUGAGAGGGCACAACCAUGGGUGUCUAUCAUUGUCCCGGUCUCGGAAUCAGUCUUUUUUCUCUCUCGAUUUUGCAGGCCUCGCAAGUUGGGAAAUGGAUCAAUAAGGGAUUGAGUUGAAACCUUUUAUUUUGUAGUUGUGUGUAUGGAAGCCAAAAAACCUGGUCAAACUGAUGGAAGUUGGUUGGGUCUGUGGUUUAAUAAGUCUAAUCAUAUAGUCGGUUGGUUUAAAAAAAAUGAAAACUGGUUUACAAAAAAUAUAACACGAAUUGAAAUAAAAUAAUUUUUAUUUGACUUAUAUGGCAGAGUUUGUUCAGUUUCAAGCAUUGUUGAUCUACCUGUGAUUUCUUGACACCUUCCAAAAUCAUAUUCUACAACUUGCUGUAGCUUUGAUAGUCUUUGCUUAGGUGUUUCGGCUAAGCUUUGAUACCCACAUUUUGCAGGAUUUGUAUAUAGGAGAGGCACCUUACCACUAGGUAGGGGU